rnacentral:misc_RNA from 1 species
UUUCCGUAGGUGAACCUGCGGAAGGAUCAUUCAUAAUAAGUGUUUUAUGGCACUUUUUAAAUCCAUAUCCACCUUGUGUGCAAUGUCAGGGUUGAUUUUUCUCUCGAGAGGAUCAGCCCCAAACACCAACUAUAUCUCAACUCUUUGUCUGAAAAAUAUUAUGAAUAAAACAAUUCAAAAUACAACUUUCAACAACGGAUCUCUUGGCUCUC